rnacentral:rRNA from 1 species
AUUAACGCUGGCGGCGUGCCUUAUGCAUGCAAGUCGAACGGUUCUGAUUUAUCAGGACAGUGGCAAACGGGUGAGUAACGCAUAAGCAACCUGCCCCUAAGUAUGGAAUAGCUCUGAGAAAUUGGAGAUAAUGCCGUAUGUGGUAGUGGGACAUAAGUUUCACUAUUAAAGCCGUAAGGCGCUUGGGGAGGGGCUUGUGUCCGAUUAGCUAGUUGGUGGGGUAAUGGCUCACCAAGGCUGUGAUCGGUAGCUGGUUUGAGAGGACGACCAGCCACACUGGGACUGCGACACGGCCCAGACUCCUACGGGAGGCAGCAGCAAGGAAUUUUGCGCAAUGGGCGAAAGCCUGACGCAGCGACGCCGCGUGAGGGAUGAAGGCCUUCGGGUUGUAAACCUCUUUUCUCAGGGAAGAAUAAUGACGGUACCUGAGGAAUAAGUCUCGGCUAACUACGU